UAGAGGAAGGGAAUGGUAAGGAGAGAGCAAGAGGAGGAGAGAAGCAAGAGAACAAGAGUAAGAGAGGAAGGGGGCAAGCAGCCUUUUUAUAGUGAGUGGGUCAGGCAUACCUGGCUAUUGCAGGUAACUGGGGGUGAGCAUACUUGGCUGUUGCCAGGUAACUGAGGGGUGGAGUUUAGUGCUAACAGGGGAAAUAAUGCCUAGAAUCCUCAGUGAGGGGCUGGGGUGUGGCUCAGGGGUCGAUCACUUGUCUAAUAUGUGCAAGGCCCUGGGCUCCAUCUAUGCCACCAUACACACAUAUAUCCAUACUGUGAAGCUCAGUGACAACCGAUUUGAUUGUUGUUGUUUUGUUUGUUUGUGUGUGUGUUUGUUUGUUUGUUUUGAGACAGUGUUUCACUGUGAAGCUCUAGCUGGACUGGAACUACGUAGACCAAGAUGGUUUUGAACUCACAAAACUAGGGCUGCCUGUGCCUCCUGAGGACUGGGAGUAACGGCAUGCCACACCACUGUUGAGCCUCACUGUGAAGCUCUGACUAACCUGGAACGCUGUAGAUCCGCUGGCCACUCAUUCACUCACUGAUGCCAGCCCUCACCGCCUCCAUUUCCAGAACUCUCUUCCUUUUAAAGGGUUGGCUCCAAUUUGUAGAGGAUCUACCUCUGCCUCCUAGAGCUGGGGCAGGUGUGCACUCGGAUUCUCUUUAAAGAUGACGAAGGGAAACGGGAGGACUUGGCUCAGCAACAGCCCCACACAGCACGCAGCUCCUCUCCCUGUUCCAGGCCCCCAUCCAGCAACACUGCACACGUGGGCCGGAGCUGAGCCUACAGACAGAUUUCACAGCUGGCUUCUGCCUGGAGGCGGGUAGGAAAAGUCUUAGCUCAAUUAGCAAAGGAAACUAACCUCUGAUAGAGCUGUGGAAGCUAUGGUCAAAGGGAAGGUCAGACACUGGAUGUUGGUGGGUCCCUGCUGGCAGCCUGGGUUUGCUUAGAACCACUCGUGAGCCCGAUGAACUCCUGGGCAAAAGAAAAUACUGAAACGGGGAGACUCUAAGCACAUACCCAAUCUGGCUCCCAAGUCUGGGGUGCUGCCUGCCAAGCAUAGGACAGGCUGAGUUCUAAGGGCCACUGAGCACAGGUACCCCAAUACAUACUCAGUAUGUAUCGAGUCCAGCUCUGUCCUCAACAAACAUGGCUUCGCACUUUUGUCUUUAAGUAAAGUAUAAAUGGCACACAGCCCCUGACUGCACCUCCCCUGUAGUUGCUCUUUGUUAUCACAGCAGCAAGGAUCAAACAUUUUAAUUUCCUGAACAGUUGAAAAUAUAGAUUAUCUAUCUUGUCCUUUUUAGAAAGGAGUUGACAGCCAGGCAGUGGUGGCACACACCUUUAAUCCCAGCACUUGGGAGGCAGAGGCAGUCGGAUUUCUGAGUUUGAGGCCAGCCUGGUCUACAAAGUGAGUUCCAGGACAAUCAGGGUGACACUGAGAGACCCUGUCUCGAAAAACCAAAAAAAAAAAAGAAAGGAGUUGACAACUCCUAGACUAGUUGGUUGGAUGGUGUGUGUGUGUGUGUGUGUGUGUGUGUGUGUGUGUGUGUGUGAGAGAGAGAGAGA